ACGAAAACGUUGACAAGAAAUAGUAGCAAAUUUUGGGUUUUAAAGAGAGCAGGUGGCUGGUGGAAACCUGUAGCCGGAAAUUGUGAAUCCAUCUUGGAGUGAAUGGUGGAAUGCCUAGUAAGGGUAAGUAAAUCAUUCCGGUUUAGAGCCGUUAAUUCUUAAGUGAGCUGGGGAUCUAAGGAUCUCAAUUAGGGUGGCAACGCGGAUAUAACUUCCGUCCCUUUU
rnacentral:ncRNA from 1 species